rnacentral:rRNA from 1 species
AGAGUUUGAUCCUGGCUCAGGACGAACGCUGGCGGCGUGCUUAACACAUGCAAGUCGAACGGUAAGGCCCCUUCGGGGGUACACGAGUGGCGAACGGGUGAGUAACACGUGAGCAACCUGCCCUUGACUCUGGAAUAACAGCUGGAAACAGCUGCUAAUACCGGAUAUGACGCGCCUCGACAUCGAGGAGCGUGGAAAGCUCCGGCGGUCAGGGAUGGGCUCGCGGCCUAUCAGCUAGUUGGUGAGGUAACGGCUCACCAAGGCUUCGACGGGUAGCCGGCCUGAGAGGGCGACCGGCCACACUGGGACUGAGAUACGGCCCAGACUCCUACGGGAGGCAGCAGUGGGGAAUAUUGCACAAUGGGCGCAAGCCUGAUGCAGCAACGCCGCGUGCGGGAUGACGGCCUUCGGGUUGUAAACCGCUUUCAGCUCCGACGAAGCGCAAGUGACGGUAGGAGCAGAAGAAGGACCGGCCGACUACGUGCCAGCAGCCGCGGUAAU